UCACUGGAUCCCCUUGGAUCCACCAACCACACGCAGCAAAAUAAACU
rfam:Podiceps cristatus contig33890, whole genome shotgun sequence.